CCUCCUUUUCUUGGCGGGCAUUGAGGGUGCAGUCCUGAUGCCCCUAAUAUCUAGAAGCAGAAGGUAAGGGCUCCAUGCCCCUCGGUGUCAUGUCUUCGGUGCCGGCGGUUUGCAAUCCACCAGUUCUAUCCUCAAGCACCGGGACACGA